rnacentral:lncRNA from 1 species
ACUCAAAAUCUUGCAAAAAACCCCAAAAAACCCAGGAAAAAUCAACCCCGAAAUAAUUUAAAUUAAUAAUUCCAAAUUUCACCAUUGGAAAAAAGUGAAUUCCAGAGAAAAUCCCUCAUUAAUCCAUCACCACGACAAAGGAGAUCAAAUUUGGGAGAUAAAUUCUUCCUUUUUUUCCUCCCCACUUUGGGGGAAAAUACCCAAUUUUUAGGGAUUUGGGAAUAAAACUUCCAAAUUUGGGGCAUGAUCGCAGCUCAGCUGGAGUAUUUUUGGGAUGGAUUCCUCGGGAUGGAUUCCUCAGGAUGGAUUCCAUGGGAUGGAUUGUCAGGAUUCCUCGGGAUGGAUUCCAUGGGAUGGAUUCCUCAGGAUGGAUUCCUCAGGAUGGAUUAUCAGGAUUCCUCGGGAUGGAUUCCUCGGGAUGGAUUCCUCAGGUUGGAUUCCUUGGGAUGGAUUGUCAGCAUUCCUCGGGAUGGAUUCCAUGGGAUGGAUUCCUCAGGAUGGAUUCCAUGGGAUGGAUUCCAUGGGAUGGAUUCCUCGGGAUGGAUUGUCAGGAUUCCUCAGGAUGGAUUCCUCGGGAUGGAUUCCUCAGGAUGGAUUCCUCGGGAAGGACUAUCAGGAUUCCUCAGGAUGGAUUCCUCGGGAUGGAUUAUCAGGAUUCCUCAGGAUGGAUUCCUCGGGAUGGAUUAUUAGGAUUCCUUGGGAUGGAUUCCUCGGGAUGGAUCCCUCGGGAUGAAUUAUCAGGAUUCCUCAGGACAGAUUCCUCAGGAUGGAUUCCUCGGGAAGGAUUAUCAGGAUUCCUCAGGAUGGAUCCCUCGGGACGGAUUCCUCAGGAUGGAUUCCUCGGGAAGGAUUAUCAGGAUUCCUCAGGAUGGAUCCCUCGGGACGGAUUCCUCAGGAUGGAUUCCUCGGGAAGGACUAUCAGGAUUCCUCAGGAUGGAUUCCUCAGGACGGAUUCCUCAGGAUGGAUUCCUCGGGAAGGAUUAUCAGGAUUCCUCGGGAUGGAUUCCUCGGGAUGGAUCCCUCGGGAGGGAUUCCUCGGGAAGGAUUAUCAGGAUUCCUCGGGAUGGAUCCCUCGGGAAGGAUUAUCAGGAUUCCUCAGGAUGGAUUCCUCAGGAUGGAUUAUCAGGAUUCCUCAGGACGGAUUCCUCAGGAUGGAUUCCUCAGGAUGGAUUAUCAGGAUUCCUCGGGAUGGAUUCCUCGGGAUGGAUUCCUCGGGAUGGAUCCCUCGGGAUGGAUUAUCAGGAUUCCUCAGGACGGAUUCCUCAGGAUGGAUUCCUCAGGAUGGAUUCCUCAGGAUGGAUUCCUUGGGAAGGAUUAUCAGGAUUCCUCGGGAUGGAUCCCUCGGGAGGGAUUCCUCGGGAGAAGCGCUCAGCACUGCUCGGCCUCCACAAUUCCCUCUUUCUCCUGGCUGGCCGCCUCCACCUCGGCGUAGGAGCUGCGGCGGCCGCGGCUCCGGAAUUUCAUGGCGGG